CCUACGGGGUGCAGCAGUGGGGAAUUUUGCGCAAUGCUCGUAAGAGUGACGCAGCGACGCCGCGUGAAUGACGAAGGCCUUCGGGUCGUAAAGUUCUUUCGACAGGGAAGAAAAUGCCUAUAAGUAACUGUGUAUGUAUUGACGGUACCUGUAUAAGCAGCCCCGGCUAACUCCGUGCCAGCAGCCGCGGUAAUACGGAGGGGGCGAGCGUUGUUCGGAGGGACUGGGCGUAAAGAGCACGUAGGCGGUGUUGUAAGUCAUUAGUCAAAGACUAGAGCUCAACUUUAGUAAGGCUAGUGAUACUAUAAUACUAGAGUAUCAGAGAGGAUUGCAGAAUUCCUGGUGUAGCGGUGAAAUGCGUAGAUAUCAGGAGGAAUACCGUUAGCGAAGGCGGCAAUCUGGCUGGAAACUGACGCUGAGGUGCGAAAGCGUGGGUAGCAAACAGGAUUAGAUACCCUAGUAGUC
rnacentral:rRNA from 1 species